rnacentral:rRNA from 1 species
GAACGAAACGCUGGCGGCGGGCCUAACACAUGCAAGUCGCACGAGAACGUCCGGGCCUUGCUCGGGCUAGUAAAGUGGCGCACGGGUGAGUAGCGCGUGGGUAAUCUACCCUCGGGUAGGGAAUAACGUUCCGAAAGGAGCGCUAAUACCGUAUACGACCACAUCCCCUGCGGUGGGUGUGGUGAAAGCGGGCCUCUCUAUAGAAGCUCGCGCCCGGGGUCGAGCCCGCGUCCCCAUUAGCUUGUUGGUGAGGUAACGGCUCACCAAAGCCGCGAUGGGUAGCUGAUCUGAGAGGAUGAUCAGCCACACUGGGACUGGAACACGGCCCAGACUCCUACGGGAGGCAGCAGUGAGGAAUCUUGCGCAAUGGGGGAAACCCUGACGCAGCCACGCCGCGUGGGUGAAGAAGGCCUUCGGGUCGUAAAGCCCUGUCAGGUGGGAAGAACCGCGAUGAGCUGAAUAAUCUCAUUGCCUGACGGUACCACCAAAGGAAGCACCGGCUAACUCCGUGCCAGCAGCCGCGGUAAUACGGAGGGUGCAAGCGUUGUUCGGAAUUACUGGGCGUAAAGAGCGUGUAGGCGGCUAUGUAAGUCAUAUGUGAAAGCCCUCGGCUCAACUGGGGAAGUGCAUGUGAUACUGCUUAGCUUGAGUCCCGGAGAGGAGUGUGGAAUUCCCGGUGUAGAGGUGAAAUUCGUAGAGAUCUGGAGGAAUACCGGUGGCGAAAGGCGGCCCCCUGGACGAAGACUGACGCUCAGGUGCGAAAGCGUGGGGAGCUAACAGGAUUAGAUACUCUGGUAGUC